AAAGUGAACGGAAGUUGAGGAGGCAUCCCUUUUGCCACCUGCCAGCAAUCUCCCAUGAUGAAGUGGGCUAAUCAUCUCAAAAUGAUAACACCUGCUGUUUUCAUAACGAUAGGCUGAUAAAGCUCACACUCAGGCCUAUUGCACGAGAAGACGCAUUGGCGACACACGAAUCGCUCUAAAACGCAGGACGGUCUUUUUUCUUGAACUUUCUUUUUUGCUCAGCUAAACUCCAACAAUGAAGACCCAGUGGUCAAAACAAUCUAAGCAGUCCAGCAAACUGAAGAAACGUGACAAGAAGCGGACACGGGCGUUUUCAAACUACAUCUAUAAGCUUCAGAAGGAGGGUAGCCAUCCGAACUUGGACGUCGCGGCGCUCCUGCCUAAAAGAGAAUCUUCAUGUGUUACUGAUCUGGUCGGCGCUGAAGCGGCCCGGCUGUCGAAGUUCAACAAGCGCAGUGCCAUCACGCAGCGAGAGGUUCUCUCGGCGCUACAACGACUUCAGUGGGGGAAGGAGGAUCACACCACCCGAACAUGAGAUUUUUAUGUAUUUAUUUUUAUGUUUCAGUGAUGUUAAAUGUAUUUAGUGUUCAAUAAACGUGUACAUUUCUUUUAAAA